ensembl:snoRNA SNORD15 Small nucleolar RNA SNORD15
CUUCCGUGACGAUACGAUGACGAGUCGGAUAAGUGCGCCGUGUCUCUGGGCGCCGUGUCAGGGUCACGUUCUGUGCCCCUGACUUCGGUUGCCCAGAGUGGUGUCCUCUUUGGUUGAAGACAUAGAGGCAUUUGUCUGAGAAGG